CCUACGGGGGGCAGCAGUGGGGAAUAUUGGGCAAUGGGCGCAAGCCUGACCCAGCAACGCCGCGUGAAGGAAGAAGGCUUUCGGGUUGUAAACUUCUUUUCUCAGGGACGAAGAAAGUGACGGUACCUGAGGAAUAAGCCACGGCUAACUACGUGCCAGCAGCCGCGGUAAUACGUAGGUGGCAAGCGUUAUCCGGAUUUAUUGGGUGUAAAGGGCGUGUAGGCGGGAGCGCAAGUCAGAUGUGAAAACUCAGGGCUCAACCCUGAGCCUGCAUUUGAAACUGUGUUUCUUGAGUGCUGGAGAGGCAAUCGGAAUUCCGUGUGUAGCGGUGAAAUGCGUAGAUAUAUGGAAGAACACCAGUGGCGAAGGCGGCUCUCUGGUCUGCAACUGACGCUGAGGCUCGAAAGCAUGGGUAGCGAACAGGAUUAGAUACCCGGGUAGUC
rnacentral:rRNA from 1 species